AUUCAAAAAGGAUGAAUACACCCUACAUUUAUAACCUCUGUAAUAUGAAAGAAGCAAAGAGAUGGUUGCGCUUCUCCAGGAUUACUUUCCUUGCCGGUGAUCCUCUAUUUUGAAGAAACUAAGGCAUUGAAGAAUGAUCUAAAGCACUGAAUGCAAGAAAGCCAUUAGCCUGGUUUGAUGAGUGAGAUGGUGAGAUAACAACAAAAAACUACAAAAGAAGAAUUCUGUUUUAAAGACCCCACUUAGAUUCAGUGAUCCUAUUCUCCUUCCAGUCUGAGUUAGUAAUGUAUAAAAAUGGAUCAAAAUAAUAAACAGCUCCUAACCACUUUUUUUGUAACUCAUGCUCUGAAUCAUCCCUGAAUUCCAACCAACACUGCUGAAUCUCUCUGCUGCUGCAAGAAGCCUCCCCUUCCCUGUGUCUCCUCAGGACUGACAGCAUGGGAGAACAGCUUGAGGUCAGAUCCUCUCUGCCCUCUUGACUCUUCUUCUAGAGGAUGGAAACAAGGAAGCCCUCCUUUGCCUUCACUGGAGGAGGAUGGGGAGGCAUUGGCCUUGAAUCUACACUCACUCAUCCACUUCAGUGCGUGCACAGAGCCCCGUGGAGGAAGACAGCAGAAAUUCCUUGGGGAGAAUCAAGGAUAAAGAAGAAAAAUUCUCAGCAUCUGCAAUAUUUUGGUAGGAGGGA